rnacentral:tRNA from 1 species
UCCCUGGUGGUUCAGUGGCUAAAACUCCACACUUACAAUGCAGGGGGCCCAGGUUCAUCCCUGGUCGAGGAA